AACCCUACACGCAACCUAGCCCGAAAACCUCCCGAAAUCGAAAAUAUACGGUCGUGAUCAUUGGGUCCGGAUCAACCCUGUAAUACCCCAAACCAUCAUCAGUUUUUCAAUUGAACCCCUAGCCUAUAUUUCUCGACCGUUCGAUUACAAUCAUAGGGACAAGAUAUCCUAAUCCCAUACCAAUAUAAAAUAGUCUAUCCUAAUCCCAUACCAAUAUAAAAUAGUCAUACCGUAGGCCUAGCUAUCCUCUCCUCUCAUUCCAUCAGUGCGCCGCCACUCGUUUUCCCCAGCACACAACCCAGCGCACUCCCCUGCCUCUCCCUCCUUGGGAUCCUCCCAGAUUGAUCCCACCCAACGUCGACCCACCGUCAUCCCGAGGCCCUGACCCUUGCCCCUGUCCUCCAGCCUAGAGCCUGAGAGCCCGCAGCGCGCAGCCAUCUGCAGCUCCCCCAAGCCUCUGGAUGCGUCCGCUCACCCGCAGCCUCCUUCGUCCGUGCGGGCAUAGGAGCUCUCGCGAAGAAGGCCCCGCCGGAGCCCCGCACAUGCCGGCCUCGCUUGUAGUCUCCCGCUCGCGCAUGGACGCAACCGUCCCUACCAGCGCCCGCACGCCGUGUUCGUCGCUGCAUGCUGUAGUUGCAGGUCGCCCUGUGCUCUUCCUCUCGCUCUCCCAUCUCUAUUUCUUUCUCUCCCUUCUUUUCAUCUCUCUCUGUUCUUUGUCGUUAUAAGCAGAAGCAGCACCUAAAGCUUCAACCGAACUGGGACCCGAUGCCGACCAUGUCAGUGCCUGGAUCCAGCAGGAACCGAGCCCCGUCGAGCUCCUCGUCCGAGAUCUAGGCUUCCCUAAGCCCUCUGCCUGGUUGGUGGCAACAGCUUGCCUCCAGCCGCGCUAGCCUCGCCUUAGCUCUUCCAAGGUCCGGUUGUCUCACUCACUUCACUGAAUCUACGAUGUAAACACCUAAUUUGGCCCUAGUUCAAAAGAACAUGACCAUGUUUUUGUUCAAACGCACUAAACUAGGCGAGCUUGUAAUCAUCGCCUGCAUUGAACCUAGGGGUUGGGGUUCGAAUUCGAGGCACCGCUAUUUAUUUAUUGGUUCAGGUUCAGGUUCAGGUUCGCUGUUUAUUUAGAUUCAUAUUUGUUAUGUUAUUUGUUCAGGUUUCUAUUUAGAUGGUCUUAUCUUAUUUGUUAUGUUAUUGGUUCAGGUUCGCUGUUUAUUUAGAUUCAUAUUUCUUAAAACCCAUUUUUAAUCAUAAUCUCUUCGUAGCCCCAUGUUUUGUUCCUUUGUUUUUUCUCGGAAAGUUUUGUUCCUCUGUUUUUUCUCAGAAAUGUCGUAUUUCUAAACUAUUAAUAAUUCAUAAACCAUGCAUCGAAUGGGAAUAAUUUAUCUAUACCUAAUACCUAAUCUUUACCUAAUAAUGAAGAGGCUAUCGCUUCCGUCGGAAAACCCACCGAGGUGAUUUUACAAAAAAACCCUUACUGUUUAUGACAUUAAACUCGUAGUAUAUAUUAAAUAUUUUUUUAAAUAUUCAUAUCUUUUAAACCG
rnacentral:lncRNA from 1 species